GGGCGGGACCAUGACUUCAUAGCCCAUUCUUCUGUAGCCUGGGUCUGGGAGAGGACCCUCUUGCCUUGAACCUGCCAUGGGAAUCAGGCUCCUCUAUGCCUUUUGCUUCCUGGGAGUAGGCCUCAUGGAUGCACAAGUAACCCAAACUCCAAGAUAUCUGGUCAAAAGGAGGGGAGAGAAAGUUGUGAUAGAAUGUAUGCAGAACAUGGACCAUGAGAGAAUGUUCUGGUACCGACAAGACCCAGCUCUGGGGCUACGGCUGCUCCAUUUCUCAAUCAAUGUUGACGUGCUUGAGGAAGGAGAUGUGCCCUAUGGGUACAGCGUCUCCAGAACAAAGAAGAAGAGCUUCCCUCUGACCCUGGAGUCUGCCACCACCAACCAGACGGCUAUGUACCUCUGCGCCAGCAGUGAAUCCACAGCGCGGCACGGCCACAUCCUCUCUGCACAAAAAGGGCAGAUGCAGGAAACCUCGGGCUCUAAGCACACGAGCUUCAGUAGCGGCACGCACGGGCCCUAG